rnacentral:lncRNA from 1 species
AAUUGUGAGAUUGCCUAAUUUAGGGGGAGUUUGAAAUUGUUUAAAAAUAAAAAAGGGAGACAAAGAAACUCCUAUGUUUAAAAGAUGUGGAAAGAGUUACAUCCAAAAGGAGUGUGAAAACUACCACCACAUGUAGGAAAGAGCUACCACCCCGGUCGUCCGGCAAGUGUGUGAAGCUACCACAUGAAAAUUGAAUUGAUUAAACUGAAAAAAUUGAAAAGAAACAAUUGAAUAUUUUAGAAUUUUUCGGAGUAAUAAGGUGUUAGUUUGAAAAAGAUGCUCAAAGAGCCACCCCUGGUAUCAUAUUAGUUAAAUCUCUAUUUUGAACAUAUUGCGACUAAUUGGUGUCAAUUUUGUUGAAUUUCUAAAUAUCAUUUUUCAUCAACUUACAUCUUGAUGUUGUUGAAUCAUUAAAUUAUUUUUGAUUUCGAAAUUUUGAUGUUUUGAUGUGUUUUGAAAUUUUAUAAUAUCUUAUUUUCAUUAUAAUAAUUUUUGGAGUAAAAGCCUUAAUUAUAUGAAUUUAAUUUAAAUUUGAUGGGUUUUUAAAGGAUAUUUUUCGAAAAUUUUUU